CCCCGGUUCUCCUGCCCGCUGACUCUCAGUCCCUCUCUGAUGCUCUCCAACUCUGUGCUCGCAAUCCCAUGUACCUAGGACAAAACACUACUCUUUUCCUCCUCCCGACCAUGGUCCUCAGGAGCCCCUCCAACUCACGAUCCCUCCUCCUUCCCCUCCCCCAGCCGGGCAUCCUCUUCGCUCCGGUCCAAGCCCAGCACAGCUCUCCACCCGCAAUCUAGAGCCCCGGGACGCACUGGCUAAGAACCAGGCAAAGAAAGCAACGGAAAGAGGCGGGGGGCUGCACUCGGGGCCCUUGGAACGUCUCUUAUGCAAUAAAAGCAGCAGCAGAGAGUUGGAGUCACCUUGACCGCCAUGCUGUGCUCGGAAGCCGGGAACGAGCGAGUGAGCGAGCUGGGCCGAGCUGUCAGGGCGCGCGCGCGCCACGGCCCGGGGCCGCGCCCGCGCUCCCUCCUGUCGCAGCGCCGCGCCCGUCUAUAUGCAAAUGAGCUAGAGCGCGUCGGUGGUGCGCACCGAGUGGCCUUGGUUGAUCCAUCAGCGGGCCGGCGGGGCAGUCGCACCUCUUGCGGGGGACACCAGAGCUCCGGUCGCCGGAUUCCAACGCGCAGUAUCUCACAUAGCCCAGCUGACCUCAAGCUUCAGUGGCCAAGAAUAACC
rnacentral:lncRNA from 1 species